rnacentral:rRNA from 1 species
CCUACGGGGUGCAGCAGUGGGGAAUAUUGGACAAUGGGCGAAACCCUUAUCCAGCGACGCCGCGUGAGGGAAGAAGGUUUUCGGAUUGUAAACCUCUGUCAGUGGGGACGAUAAUGACGGUACCCAAGGAGGAACGCACGGCUAACUACGUACCAGCAGCCGCGGUAAUACGGAGGUGGCAAGCGUGGUCCGGAAUUAAUGGGGGUAAAGGGAGCGUAGGCGGGAUGUCAAGUCAGAAGUGAAAAUGAUGGGCUCAACUCAUAACCUGCUUUUGAAACUGAUAUUCGUGAGUGAAGUAGAGGAAAGCGGAAUUCCUAGUGUAGCGGUGAAAUGCGUAGAUAUUAGGAGGAACACCAGUGGCGAAGGCGGCUUGCUGGGCUUUUACUGACGCUGAGGCUCGAAAGCGUGGGGAGCAAACAGGAUUAGAUACCCCAGUAGUC